rnacentral:rRNA from 1 species
GCGGCACGCCUUAUACAUGCAAGUCGAACGAAGUAGCAAUACUUAGUGGCAGACGGGUGAGUAACAUGUAGGUAUCUUCCCUUUGGUGAGGAAUAACACGAGGAAACUUGUGCUAAUACCUCAUAAGUCUUAACGGAGAAAGCUUUAUGCGCCGAAGGAUGAGCCUGCACUUGAUUAGUUUGUUGGUGGGGUAAUGGCCUACCAAGACUUUGAUCUAUAGCUGAUCUGAGAGGAUGAUCAGCCACAUUGGGACUGAGACACGGCCCAAACUCCUACGGGAGGCAGCAGUAGGGAAUAUUGCACAAUGGAGGAAACUCUGAUGCAGCGAUGCCGCGUGAGUGAAGAAGGCCUUUGGGUUGUAAAGCUCUUUCGUCGGGGAAGAAAAUGACUGUACCCGAAUAAGAAGGUCCGGCUAACUUCGUGCCAGCAGCCGCGGUAAUACGAAGGGACCUAGCGUAGUUCGGAAUUACUGGGCUUAAAGAGUUCGUAGGUGGUUAAAAAAGUUGGUGGUGAAAUCCCAGAGCUUAACUCUGGAACUGCCAUCAAAACUUUUUAGCUAGAGUAUGAUAGAGGAAAGCAGAAUUUCUAGUGUAGAGGUGAAAUUCGUAGAUAUUAGAAAGAAUACCAAUUGCGAAGGCAGCUUUCUGGAUCAUUACUGACGCUGAGGAACGAAAGCAUGGGUAGCGAAGAGGAUUAGAUACCCUCGUAGUCCAUGCCGUAAACGAUGUGUGUUAGACGUUGGAAAUUUAUUUUCAGUGUCGCAGCGAAAGCAUUAAACACACCGCCUGGGGAGUACG